UACACAGCAGGUGGUCAGGAGCAAAGUGGCUGCAGAACAAAGGUCGUCAAGGAAGUCAGAACUCAGAGUCAAAAGACCCAGGAUCGCAUCUUAGUUAUUUGCUUCCUCACUGAAUGAGCUGUGUGGCCUGGGGCAAGUCCUUUCAAGGCCUCGAAGAACUGGGGUCUCAUUCCACUUCCAGUAAGGAGCAGAAUUUCAGUUCAGUCGCUUUUUCUUUGGUAGCCAGAAGAUACUGCACUCCUGGGUCACAGAACACAGCUGCCUGGAGGGAUCAUGGCUGGAAAUACCAAGGUUAUAAUUCUGGAUAUUAACCAGUAUCCCAACCAAUCUCUUCUCCUUUAACCUACCUUCCCUGUCACCUUAAGGCUUUGGGUGAGGUGCAAGGUAGCUCCUCACUGGACAAAAGAGUCAUCAAAGUCUGGGAGUCAGACAUAAGUCAGGAC